UACAGAGGGGGCAAGCGUUGUUCGGAAUUACUGGGCGUAAAGGGCGCGUAGGCGGCCCUGUUAAGUCGAACGUGAAAUCCCCCGGGCUCAACCCGGGAACUGCGUCCGAUACUGGCAGGCUUGAAUCCGGGAGAGGGAUGCGGAAUUCCAGGUGUAGCGGUGAAAUGCGUAGAUAUCUGGAGGAACACCGGUGGCGAAGGCGGCGAUCCUGGACCGGCAUUGACGGCUG
rnacentral:rRNA from 1 species